UUAACUCAAAUUUGUAUGGAGUUCGAGGGUUUACCUAUAUUUGCCGCUAGGGGCGCUGGUCUAACUCCAUACAAUUUGGGUUU
rnacentral:pre_miRNA from 1 species